GAAGUCAAUCGGGCGACCGCUGGCGGAUUCGAAGCUGGAGGAAAGUCCGGGCUCCACAGGGCGUGACGCUGGGUAAUCCCCAGGGGAGGUGACUCCACGGAAAGUGCAACAGAAAGCAGACCGCCGAUGACUCGCAUUAGAGUACAGGUAAGGGUGAAACGGUAAGGUAAGAGCUUACCAGCAGUCCGGGUGAUCGGAUUGGCUAGGUAAACCCCGUCAGGAGCAAGACCAAGUAGAGGAACGAUUGAAAACGGCCCGUUUGAUGUUCCAGGGUAGGUCGCUUGAGGUUUUGAGUAAUCAAUAUCCUAGAUGAAUGGUCGCCACCCGGUUUUUAUCGGGCACAGAACCCGGCUUACAGAUGACUUCACCC
rnacentral:RNase_P_RNA from 1 species